CUCGUCAAGGCCGUAGCCGCCCGCGCCCCCGACCUGGUCGCGCGCGCCGGUCUGGCUCUGCGCCGGCCUUCCCGCCUUCCCGGCCGGCCUCCGCUGCCCCGUCCCCGAUCCGGCUCCGUCCGUGUCCCGGUCAUCGCCUCCGACUUCGCCAGCGCGCCCCCGCCGCCUGCGCCGCUCCCGCGCUCGUCCGCCGGGUCGCCGCUAGCCGGCCUCCACGUCCGGCGUCCGGCUCCGCCUCCCGCCCGCGCGCCGGGCCGGCUCGCCGUUCGCCGGCUCCGCCCGCUCCGCCGUCCCCGCCCGGCCCCUGGCCGCCUCCCAAAGCCGGCCGCGUCCGGCUCCCCGACGCCGCCCUGAGCUUGGCCGGGUCCAGCUCGCCCCGCUUCCCGGCCUCCCCGGCCGGCCCUGCCGCCUGCCAGCUUCCCCGCCACCCAGCACGCCGGCUCUGCCCGCGCCGGCUUCCUCGCAACCCGGCCUGCCGGCUUCGCCCCGGGCCGGCUUCCCCGCCACUCGGCACGCCGGCUCCGCCUGCGUCGGCUACCCAGCCAGCCCUGCCGCCUGCCGGCUUCCUCGCAACCCGGACACCGGCUUCUGCCGCGUCCCGGCCGCCGCUUCCGCCGCGAACCGCUCCGGCCGGUUGCUUAUAUAAAGAGAAAAGAAAGAAAAGGUGCCCAGCCGACUUCUCGUGCAAAAAAAAACGAGGUGCCCAAGCCUGCUGAAAAAAAGGUGUGAAAAGAAGACCACGCCGUCUGCGCACGUCACCGCUCGGCCGGCUGGCCUGCCGGCCCGCGUCGUCACCUAGCCGGCUGGCCUGCCCGUCUACUUCGACACCGGGCUGGCUGGAGAGCUCGCCCGACUGCCCAUCCGCAUCGUCGCCUAGCUGGUCGGGCCCGACCGGCUGGGCCCUCUUCGAGCACCCGGAGGCUCGAAGGCUACACCCAGUGGGUGUCCGCCGGCUUCAAGCCUGCACCCGGCUGUCAUCGACGACCUCUACCUCAUCCACGAAAAAGCAACGUGAGCUCCUUAACCGCAUACUUUCGCACCACGUGUAAACACGGAUAACCCCGAGCUAUACUUGGGGACCACCUCCGCCUUCAUUACAGUUGCAUUACUGUUCGCCCCAGCGCCAGCUAGUCUCGGCCCGGAGGCUGGCCGCUCGGCCCGACACGCUCGCUCCUACAGACGGCUUAGUAGCGCAUACGGUACCGAAGGCCCACUCUCAGCCACAGACCGCAGCGCGGCUGUCCGGCAAGCGAGAGCAAAAGCUGGAGGUCACCCCACGCGAAAAACGUCCAGGAGAAGACGGCUUGGGCAACCCGGCCGUUUCCUUUAUGAGUAUCUACUUGAUCGAAUCCGCUCCUGUAGUCCGAGCAUUGUACGCUCCACUCCGCGGCCACUCUUUGUAACAGCUACAGACCGGCUCCGGGCUGUCUAGCUAACAAGAGGCAAAGCCAAAGAGCGGAAGGGACAUGAAAAAGAUUGAAAGGGGCUCGGACAAAACCGAGUCGGCACCCUCCUCAUAAAACUUACAAUGCCGAAAGCAAACAUUUGGUAUAUCUGCAUGGUCUAACCUUGUCUUUUGCACGAACAUCGCUGUGGGGAACCCCCUCCUCGCCCGGAGGCUCGGAGCCUACACGCGGGUUGCAGGCCUGACUCCGGCUGCAACCGGCGUUUCCGCCACCACCGUCUGCUUCAUCAACAACAAGACCCUCCGCCCAACUUUUCCAAGUUGCCCGGAGGCUCGGAGGCUACACCCAGUGGGUGCGCUCGCGCGCCCCACUCAGCCUGCGGACUCCGCGUCCGUGUCCGGCAGGGCCCCGCUGUCGGUGUCAAAACCGGCGGAUCUCGGGUAGGGGGGUCCCGAACUAUGCGUCUAAGGCGGAUGGUAACAGGAGGCGGGGGACACAAUGUUUACCCAGGUUCGGGCCCUCUCGAUGGAGAUCAUGCGUGGUCGUCCUCUUGAAAACGCAAUGAUGGCAGCAUUGAUUUGCAUGCAUGCACAGAGCAGUUAUUAGGUGUGCUUCACCUUGACUCCUCCUUUCUUCUCCACAAAGCUGUUUCUUUUGGUCGAUGCAUGCAGGGCUGGGUGAGUUAUUGUUGGCUGCAUGCAGAAAAAGGAGGAGAUGAAGUUGCGUGUGAGGGAUUAAUGAAGUACUAUUCCCAAUAUUUGCUCCUCUGUUUAUGCAACAGCCUUGGUAUGAGAGAUUCAAAACUUAGGCCAUGUAUAGAUGGAAGGAGGGAGUACUAUUAUUGUGAAAGUUCAUAUACACUCGAUGAGAUUCAUGCAAACAUGGCAGAUUUUCAUUACAUUUCGAACUUUUAUAGGGCAGAAAAAGAAAA